GACGAACGCUGGCGGCGUGCUUAACACAUGCAAGUCGAACGGAAAGGCCCUGCUUUUGUGGGGUGCUCGAGUGGCGAACGGGUGAGUAACACGUGAGUAACCUGCCCUUGACUUUGGGAUAACUUCAGGAAACUGGGGCUAAUACCGGAUAGGAGCUCCUGCUGCAUGGUGGGGGUUGGAAAGUUUCGGCGGUUGGGGAUGGACUCGCGGCUUAUCAGCUUGUUGGUGGGGUAGUGGCUUACCAAGGCUUUGACGGGUAGCCGGCCUGAGAGGGUGACCGGCCACAUUGGGCCUGCGAUACGGCGCAGACUCCUACGGGAGGCAGCAGUGGGGAAUAUUGCACAAUGGGCGGAAGCCUGAUGCAGCAACGCCGCGUUCGUGAUGACGGCCUUCGGGUUGUAAACCGCUUUCGCCUGUGACGAAGCGUGAGUGACGGUAAUGGGUAAAGAAGCACCGGCUAACUACGUG
rnacentral:rRNA from 1 species